UACGGGGGGCGCAAGCGUUGUUCGGAUUUACUGGGCGUAAAGGGCGCGUAGGCGGCAAUUCAAGUCAUCUGUGAAAUCUCCGGGCUUAACUCGGAACGGUCAGAUGAUACUGCUUUGCUAGAGUGCGGAAGGGGCAAUCGGAAUUCUUGGUGUAGCGGUGAAAUGCGUAGAUAUCAAGAGGAACACCUGAGGUGAAGACGGGUUGCUGGGCCGACACUGACGCUGACAGCGCGAAAGCCAGGGGAGCAAACGGG
rnacentral:rRNA from 1 species